rnacentral:rRNA from 1 species
GUCUACGGCCACGCCACCCUGAACAAGCCUGAUGUCUGAUCUUGGAAGCUAGGCAGGGUGGGGCUUGGUUAGUACUUGGAUGGGAGACCCCCUAGGAAGACCAGGUGCUGUAGGUA